rnacentral:rRNA from 1 species
GCCUACGGGGGCAGCAGUAGGGAAUCUUCCACAAUGGGCGAAAGCCUGAUGGAGCAACGCCGCGUGGGUGAAGAAGGUCUUCGGAUCGUAAAACCCUGUUGUUAGAGAAGAAAGUGCGUGAGAGUAACUGUUCACGUUUCGACGGUAUCUAACCAGAAAGCCACGGCUAACUACGUGCCAGCAGCCGCGGUAAUACGUAGGUGGCAAGCGUUAUCCGGGUUUAUUGGGCGUAAAGGGAACGCAGGCGGUCUUUUAAGUCUGAUGUGAAAGCCUUCGGCUUAACCGGAGUAGUGCAUUGGAAACUG